rnacentral:rRNA from 1 species
GACGUAGGGUGCGAGCGUUGUCCGGAUUUAUUGGGCGUAAAGAGCUCGUAGGCGGCUCGUCGCGUCAGCUGUGAAAACCCGCAGCUUAACUGUGGGCUUGCAGCUGAUACGGGCAUCACUGGAGUUCGGCAGGGGAGACUGGAAUUCCUGGUGUAGCGGUGAAAUGCGCAGAUAUCAGGAGGAACACCGGUGGCGAAGGCGGGUCUCUGGGCCGAUACUGACGCUGAGGAGCGAAAGCGUGGGGAGCGAACAGG